UACGUAGGUGACAAGCGUUGUCCGGAUUUACUGGGCGUAAAGAGCGCGCAGGCGGUCGUUCAAGUCGAGUGUGAAAGCCCCCGGCUCAACUGGGGAGGGUCACUCGAUACUGAUCGACUUGAAGGCAGGAGAGGGAAGCGGAAUUCCCGGUGUAGUGGUGAAAUGCGUAGAUAUCGGGAGGAACACCAGUGGCGAAGGCGGCGACCUGGU
rnacentral:rRNA from 1 species